rnacentral:rRNA from 1 species
UGGGGAAUAUUGCACAAUGGGCGAAAGCCUGAUGCAGCGACGCCGCGUGAGGGAUGACGGCCUUCGGGUUGUAAACCUCUUUCAGCAGGGAAGAAGCGAAAGUGACGGUACCUGCAGAAGAAGCACCGGCUAACUACGUGCCAGCAGCCGCGGUAAUACGUAGGGUGCGAGCGUUGUCCGGAAUUAUUGGGCGUAAAGAGCUUGUAGGCGGUUUGUCGCGUCUGCUGUGAAAAUCCGGGGCUCAACCCCGGACUUGCAGUGGGUACGGGCAGACUAGAGUGUGGUAGGGGAGACUGGAAUUCCUGGUGUAGCGGUGAAAUGCGCAGAUAUCAGGAGGAACACCGAUGGCGAAGGCAGGUCUCUGGGCCACUACUGACGCUGAGAAGCGAAAGCGUGGGGAGCGAACA